CAGUAGCCGCGGUAAUACGGAGGGUGCAAGCGUUAAUCGGAAUUACUGGGCGUAAAGCGUGCGUAGGCGGUUCGUUAAGUCUGUUGUGAAAGCCCCGGGCUCAACCUGGGAAUGGCAAUGGAUACUGGCGAGCUAGAGUGUGUCAGAGGAUGGUGGAAUUCCCGGUGUAGCGGUGAGAUGCGUAGAGAUCGGGAGGAACAUCAGUGGCGAAGGCGGCCAUCUGGGACAACACUGACGCUGAGGCACGAAAGCGUGGGGAGCAAACAGGAUUAGAUACCCCCGUAGUCCCUGUCUCUUAUAC
rnacentral:rRNA from 1 species